rnacentral:rRNA from 1 species
GACGAACGCUGGCGGCGUGCUUAACACAUGCAAGUCGAACGGAAAGGCCCUGCUUUUGUGGGGUGCUCGAGUGGCGAACGGGUGAGUAACACGUGAGUAACCUGCCCUGGACUUUGGGAUAACUUCAGGAAACUGGGGCUACUACCGGCUAGGAGCUCCUGCUGCAUGGUGGGGGUUGGAAAUUUUCGGCGGAGGGGGAUGGACUCGCGGGUUAUCAGCUUGUUGGUGGGGUAGUGGCUUACCAAGGGUUUGACGGGUAGCCGGCCUGAGAGGGUGACCGGCCACAUUGGGACUGAGAUACGGACCAGACUCCUACGGGAGGCAGAAGUGGGGAAUAUUGCACAAUGGGCGGAAGCCUGAUGAAGCAACGCCGCGUGCGGGAUGACGGCCUUCGGGUUGUAAACCGCUUUCGCCUGUGACGAAGCGUGAGUGACGGUAAUGGGUAAAGAAGCACCGGCUAACUACGUG